UAGGGAAUCUUCCACAAUGGGCGAAAGCCUGAUGGAGCAACGCCGCGUGUGUGAUGAAGGGUUUCGGCUCGUAAAACACUGUUGUAAGAGAAGAAUGACAUUGAGAGUAACUGUUCAAUGUGUGACGGUAUCUUACCAGAAAGGAACGGCUAAAUAACGUGCCAG
rnacentral:rRNA from 1 species